rnacentral:rRNA from 1 species
GAGUAACACGUGGAUAACCUACCUAUAAGACUGGGAUAACUUCGGGAAACCGGAGCUAAUACCGGAUAAUAUUUUGAACCGCAUGGUUCAAAAGUGAAAGACGGUCUUGCUGUCACUUAUAGAUGGAUCCGCGCUGCAUUAGCUAGUUGGUAAGGUAACGGCUUACCAAGGCAACGAUGCAUAGCCGACCUGAGAGGGUGAUCGGCCACACUGGAACUGAGACACGGUCCAGACUCCUACGGGAGGCAGCAGUAGGGAAUCUUCCGCAAUGGGCGAAAGCCUGACGGAGCAACGCCGCGUGAGUGAUGAAGGUCUUCGGAUCGUAAAACUCUGUUAUUAGGGAAGAACAUAUGUGUAAGUAACUGUGCACAUCUUGACGGUACCUAAUCAGAAAGCCACGGCUAACUACGUGCCAGCAGCCGCGGUAAUACGUAGGUGGCAAGCGUUAUCCGGAAUUAUUGGGCGUAAAGCGCGCGUAGGCGGUUUUUUAAGUCUGAUGUGAAAGCCCACGGCUCAACCGUGGAGGGUCAUUGGAAACUGGAAAACUUGAGUGCAGAAGAGGAAAGUGGAAUUCCAUGUGUAGCGGUGAAAUGCGCAGAGAUAUGGAGGAACACCAGUGGCGAAGGCGACUUUCUGGUCUGUAACUGACGCUGAUGUGCGAAAGCGUGGGGAUCAAACAGGAUUAGAUACCCUGGUAGUCCACGCCGUAAACGAUGAGUGCUAAGUGUUAGGGGGUUUCCGCCCCUUAGUGCUGCAGCUAACGCAUUAAGCACUCCGCCUGGGGAGUACGACCGCAAGGUUGAAACUCAAAGGAAUUGACGGGGACCCGCACAAGCGGUGGAGCAUGUGGUUUAAUUCGAAGCAACGCGAAGAACCUUACCAAAUCUUGACAUCCUUUGACAACUCUAGAGAUAGAGCCUUCCCCUUCGGGGGACAAAGUGACAGGUGGUGCAUGGUUGUCGUCAGCUCGUGUCGUGAGAUGUUGGGUUAAGUCCCGCAACGAGCGCAACCCUUAAGCUUAGUUGCCAUCAUUAAGUUGGGCACUCUAAGUUGACUGCCGGUGACAAACCGGAGGAAGGUGGGGAUGACGUCAAAUCAUCAUGCCCCUUAUGAUUUGGGCUACACACGUGCUACAAUGGACAAUACAAAGGGCAGCGAAACCGCGAGGUCAAGCAAAUCCCAUAAAGUUGUUCUCAGUUCGGAUUGUAGUCUGCAACUCGACUACAUGAAGCUGGAAUCGCUAGUAAUCGUAGAUCAGCAUGCUACGGUGAAUACGUUCCCGGGUCUUGUACACACCGCCCGUCACACCACGAGAGUUUGUAACACCCGAAGCCGGUGGAGUAACCUUUUAGGAGCUAGCCGUCGAAGGUGGGACAAAUGAUUGGGGUGAAGUCGUAACAAGGUAGCCGUAUCGGAAGGUGCGGCUGGAUCACCUCCUUU